UCAGCCCCCAGACGUGUCACAGGAGUGUCUGCGUUUGCACGCAAGAGGCUUCUGAAGAGACCUUCAGCACAGCUCUGCCGAGACACUGCCUGUGCUGGGGUGAGGAACCCCCCUGGCAGAAGUGAGUGAGUGCGUGAACGAGGGAAGGAGUGAAAGACUGCCUGUCAGACUGCACUACCUGUGUGUUAAUCUGACCACUUCAGACAACGAGUACCACACAGAACCCAUGUUGUUCCAAGAUGUGAAUUCACAUACAAAGCAAGCUAUUCUUGAGCCAUGGAAGAGGGCCACCAACAGCGAAUGGCUUCAGCAAAGUCAAGCCAACUUCUUUCCAAGGCCUCACACAUUAGUUCACGCCGAGUCUGACCAUCUGAGUUCCUUGGAAGUGAAUGCAAAUGCCUACGUGAAGCCCAAGCAAGCUGGACUUUUUGUGAAACAUUACUAAUUAUAUUUAUAUGGUGGUAGCACUCAGGAACUGCUGACCAUAGAGUAAACAUAGUUUCUGCCUGAAGGCCAGAAGGUACAGUUCUGUACAGAAAAUACUUCAUAGAAGUUGUAUUACCAUCAGCGUGGUCUUGCUCUGCAAAUCUACUUAAUCUAUGUAUUUAGAGUCAUGUGCGCUUUAGUGACGUAAUAAA